rnacentral:rRNA from 1 species
UACGGAGGUUGCAAGCGUUAUCCGGAUUUAUUGGGUUUAAAGGGUGCGUAGGCGGAAUUGUAAGUCAGUGGUGAAAACCUGCAGCUUAACUGUAGAACUGCCAUUGAUACUGCCAUUCUUGAGUAUAGUUGAGGUGGGCGGAAUGUGUAAUGUAGCGGUGAAAUGCUUAGAUAUUACACAGAACACCAAUUGCGUAGGCAGCUCACUAAACUAUAACUGACGCUGAGGCACGAAAGCGUGGGGAGCAAACAGG